rnacentral:rRNA from 1 species
AGAUAAGGAGCUUGCUCCUUUGACGUUUAGCGGCGGACGGGUGAGUAACACGGUGGGUAACCUACCUAUAAGACUGGAAUAACUCCGGGAAACCGGGGCUAAUGCCGGAUAACAUAUAGAACCGCAUGGUUCUAUAGUGAAAGAUGGUUUUGCUAUCACUUAUAGAUGGACCCGCGCCGUAUUAGCUAGUUGGUAAGGUAAUGGCUUACCAAGGCGACGAUACGUAGCCGACCUGAGAGGGUGAUCGGCCACACUGGAACUGAGACACGGUCCAGACUCCUACGGGAGGCAGCAGUAGGGAAUCUUCCGCAAUGGGCGAAAGCCUGACGGAGCAACGCCGCGUGAGUGAUGAAGGGUUUCGGCUCGUAAAACUCUGUUAUUAGGGAAGAACAUAUGUGUAAGUAACUGUGCACAUCUUGACGGUACCUAAUCAGAAAGCCACGGCUAACUACGUGCCAGCAGCCGCGGUAAUACGUAGGUGGCAAGCGUUAUCCGGAAUUAUUGGGCGUAAAGCGCGCGUAGGCGGUUUCUUAAGUCUGAUGUGAAAGCCCACGGCUCAACCGUGGAGGGUCAUUGGAAACUGGGAAACUUGAGUGCAGAAGAGGAAAGUGGAAUUCCAUGUGUAGCGGUGAAAUGCGCAGAGAUAUGGAGGAACACCAGUGGCGAAGGCGACUUUCUGGUCUGUAACUGACGCUGAUGUGCGAAAGCGUGGGGAUCAAACAGGAUUAGAUACCCUGGUAGUCCACGCCGUAAACGAUGAGUGCUAAGU